UAAGGGUUUGAAUAAUCUUUACAGACGGAUAAAAGAACAAUUGGUAUUUUUUCUUUACUUAUUAUGUAUUGAAAUUUGGUGUGGGAGAGAAAUAUGAUAUUAUUUGAUUAAAACACAAAACAGUAGCGUCAGCGUUUGUGCAGUUCGUAAAUAAUUUUCGCACAUUGUCAGCACAAGUUCUGGGCAGAGAAGCUGCUGUGCCAAGGGAUGGAUCACCUCAUUUUCUUAGCACGGAAAGCCACACAGGAUAUUUGCUCAAGUUCUCCUCAACUGUGCACCAGUUAUUAUGGUCCCAAUCACUAAAGAUUAUCUGAAGAGACAGUGAACGCAUGAUAACCACCUGAAGCAGGAGAGAAGAUAGAUGGAAUGAAAUGUCAAGAAGUGGGGCCUCUACAGUUCCCAGAUGCAAGCGUUGGGGAGAGCACAGUGGCAAGUAAGGACAGCUACACACUGGAGAGGACAUGUGCACAGGCUCAUCAAAAAAUGGCGCGUUUUGAGACAAUGUGCAUAAAGGACUUCAACUCUCAACAGCAACACAUUACAACAUAUAGUGUGAGUAGUCUUUUAUUCCUUGCACACAAAUACAUCACUCAAGUUAUGAGAGUUCUUGCUUUAUAUAUAUAUAUAAAACUUUAAAGUUCAUCAUUCCAAAUUACUAUGUGUACAUAGUGCUUGAAGAGCUACUAGUAAUACAUAGUUAACAGUAGCAAUUAAGAAGAUUAAGAACAAUGAACUGUAGAAGCAAUUGUUGCAAAUAAACAACUCACUUUUUUAUUGUGCUGAUGAGAUUUGAAGUCCAUAUUGCACAAUUUUUCAUCAUGCCUGUGCACAUACUCGUAUCCUCUGCAGCUCGCAUACUCUUAUACUUCUCAAAGUCCUCCUCCAAAGAAAAAUAAAAAACUAAUGUUAAUUUUCAACAUAAUCUUUAAAGAAAUGUGCAGAAAUAUUAGAGUGAACUUUAUGUUUACAUGAAAAAAACAAUAAUGUAGAAGUUUGGAUUGAACCUGAUACCUCCUGAAUACUAGGCUGCAGUACUAACCUCUAGACCCCUCUGGCAGCCUGGCAAUUGUUACUCUUAGAACUCUACUUAAAUUGAAGAAAGCAGUCUUCUG